AGCACCGGCUAACUACGUGCCAGCAGCCGCGGUAAUACGUAGGGUGCAAGCGUUAUCCGGAAUUAUUGGGCGUAAAGGGCUCGUAGGCGGUUCGUCGCGUCCGGUGUGAAAGUCCAUCGCUUAACGGUGGAUCCGCGCCGGGUACGGGCGGGCUUGAGUGCGGUAGGGGAGACUGGAAUUCCCGGUGUAACGGUGGAAUGUGUAGAUAUCGGGAAGAACACCAAUGGCGAAGGCAGGUCUCUGGGCCGUCACUGACGCUGAGGAGCGAAAGCGUGGGGAGCGAACAGGAUUAGAUACCCUGGUAGUCCACGCCGUAAACGGUGGAUGCUGGAUGUGGGGACCAUUCCACGGUCUCCGUGUCGGAGCCAACGCGUUAAGCAUCCCGCCUGGGGAGUACGGCCGCAAGGCUAAAACUCAAAGAAAUUGACGGGGGCCCGCACAAGCGGCGGAGCAUGCGGAUUAAUUCGAUGCAACGCGAAGAACCUUACCUGGGCUUGACAUGUUCCCGACAGCCCCAGAGAUGGGGCCUCCCUUCGGGGCGGGUUCACAGGUGGUGCAUGGUCGUCGUCAGCUCGUGUCGUGAGAUGUUGGGUUAAGUCCCGCAACGAGCGCAACCCUCGCCCUGUGUUGCCAGCACGUCGUGGUGGGAACUCACGGGGGACCGCCGGGGUCAACUCGGAGGAAGGUGGGGAUGACGUCAGAUCAUCAUGCCCCUUACGUCCAGGGCUUCACGCAUGCUACAAUGGCCGGUACAACGGGAUGCGACACCGCGAGGUGGAGCGGAUCCCUUAAAACCGGUCUCAGUUCGGAUUGGAGUCUGCAACCCGACUCCAUGAAGGCGGAGUCGCUAGUAAUCGCGGAUCAGCAACGCCGCGGUGAAUGCGUUCCCGGGCCUUGUACACACCGCCCGUCAAGUCAUGAAAGUGGGUAGCACCCGAAGCCGGUGGCCCAACCUUUUGGGGGGAGCCGUCUAAGGUGAGACUCGUGAUUGGGACUAAGUCGUAACAAGGUAGCCGUACCGGAAGGGGCGGCUG
rnacentral:rRNA from 1 species